UACAUGUGGGGCAAGCGUUAUCCGGAUUCACUGGGUUUAAAGGGUGCGUAGGUGGGUCUGUAAGUCAGUGGUGAAAUCUCCGAGCUUAACUUGGAAACUGCCAUUGAUACUAUAGAUCUUGAAUAUUGUGGAGGUCAGCGGAAUAUGUCAUGUAGCGGUGAAAUGCUUAGAGAUGACAUAGAACACCUAUUGCGAAGGCAGCUUACUACGCCUAUAUUGACGCUGAGGCACGAAAGCGUGGGGAUCAAACAGG
rnacentral:rRNA from 1 species